UACGUAGGGUGCAAGCGUUAUCCGGAAUUAUUGGGCGUAAAGAGCUCGUAGGCGGUUUGUCGCGUCUGCUGUGAAAACUGGGGGCUCAACCCCCGGCCUGCAGUGGGUACGGGCAGACUAGAGUGCGGUAGGGGAGAUUGGAAUUCCUGGUGUAGCGGUGGAAUGCGCAGAUAUCAGGAGGAACACCGGUGGCGAAGGCGGAUCUCUGGGCCGAUACUGACGCUGAGGAGCGAAAGCGUGGGGAGCGAACAGG
rnacentral:rRNA from 1 species